GUGGACUGGGUCCCGCGCCCUACUCGCGCGCCCAGGCUGCCCACCGCCGGCGGGAAUGCAAACGCGCCCGCCUCGCCGCACGGCUGUAAUUCUACAGGGCAGCAGCCACUGCUGGAGCAGGUUAUCUGUUCCGCCCCGGGGGCGGGGGUCCUGUCCAGCUGCCCUUCUCCCAGUCCGGGCCUCUCGCGCUACAGUUGGGGACCCUUUGCCGGUGAGUCUGUCGCACGGUCAGGGCCGAGGCAGCGCUACGGGGCAGCGUGGGAGGACCGGCUGCGGAGCCCACGUCAUCCUGCCCAGGGGAGCUCAGCGUCUGCCUUCCCACCAGCGCGCGGCGGUGCCCUGUCCACUGCCACGCGGGACACGCCUGCCAUGUCGCCACCAGCUGCCGACCUCAUUAGGGCUCCUGUCAUGGAGGAGCGGGUGGUUAAAGGACCAUAAGAACCAGAGCUAAGUGGCUGCAAAGAUAUUGACAGCCUCCCUGGAAACCUACUUUCCAAUGAGCUGCUGCAUCCCCUCCUCCUUUAAUUAGCAGGAGGGAGCCGGACAAGUUGUUACAACUGCAGGGAAAAACGAUAAAAGAUGGCUUUGUAUUAGUGUGGCAAAUUUUAUUAAACCAAGAGAAAGGGUACCUGAAACAUGACAGCCGUGUGUGUAGUGCCUCCUGAAUUUGUAAUAAUCCAAUCUUGUUCUGAAUCAUCCCUGUGUUGGCAAACGAAAUACAAAGCAUUUAACAGAUCCAAUAUAGUAAGAGGUACAACAGAGAACAGCCGAGUGGGGAGGGACAGGUAGGCGAGUGUCUCUGAUGCAGGGCAGUGCUCACCAAUUAAUGAGACCCAGCAGAAAUGCACAGUCUGGCUUAAGGCUUUGACUCAUUACUUACUCCUGUAACCCAGUUUCCCGUCUACAUCUCACUCCUUCCACUUAUAAUUCAGAAGUGGUAUUUGGCCACACGAGAAAACUUAACUAAUAGCACAUCAGUUGUUAGGGAAUGGAUAAAGCUAUCUUUUCCUAAAGGGAAUAAAAAGCAGGACAGGAAAUGGAGGAGAAAGUUUCGACCAGUCUGCAAUUGGGGGUAUGACAUUGUUCCUUAAGCUGGAAGCAGGUGAAUGUGUUUACUAUGCAUUAGCCCUGUUGCAUGUAAGUGUCUUUAUUUCUAUGAUAAAGAUCUGAGCUGGGCUCGAGCACAGUCCUCUAUCAAGGUCUAGUCAAUUGCAGCCUGAAUUUGUACUUUGGCCGUUCAUACUCCAAAAGCCUAUUCUUCGCCUGUUGCCCCAGGCUUCAGAUUUUAUUUGACAAAUGAAAAGGCUAAAAAUUAUUCAUUUGUAGAGACCAUUUAGUGAGCAAUUGUAGUUCUUAAGCUAUAAGGGAUUUCAAGAGAUCUUCUGAUCUAGGUAAGAUAUUCUUUACUUUGUUUUUCAGAGGAAGUAACUGGGUCUGAGCAACCUGUCUAGCGUGGCCCAGACAGAAAGUGACCUGGGGAAGGAGACCAGACCUCAAAUUACUUCCUAGUAAGGCCUGAGUUGUCAGAUAAGUCCAUGCUGACAAAACAGGGCCAAUUUAAGACAAUUGAAAGGUAGUUUAUGGACUAAAUCUUGCUAACAUAUGUGAUUUGAACUCGCCAGAGUUGGAAUAAGGAAGGUGCUUAGCAUAUGCAUCAUAAAUGCUUCCAAUAACUUGCACCCUUCCCCCUUCCUUUUUGAGAUAGGGGUUUUGUUGUGUUGUCCAGGCUGGUCUCAAAUUCAUACACUCAGGUCAUCCUUUUGCCUCAGCCUCCUUCUGGAGUAGCUGGGACUACAAAUACACACCACCAUACCUGGCUGCAAUCUUCUUUUUGACAUUAGGUUGUUUUCUGAGUAAGGGAUAGGAUAAUUAAAUGGAUAGAUUACUGGUUGAG
rnacentral:lncRNA from 1 species